GAAAUGACGUGGAAAAGGAGUAGUAGCAAAGUUUCAUGUUGUAGAGAGACAGCGGUCGGUGAAAGCUGUCCUUGAUCUUUGUGAACUCGCCUUGGAUGUCGCGGAAGUGAACAUAAAUGGUAGCUUUUGCCGGUGUAGUCGCCGUUAUCGACCUCGAGUGAACGUUUAAUGACACGUUAAUUUGGGUGGUACCGCGGGAAUCAAGCCUCUCGUCCCAUAU
rnacentral:ncRNA from 1 species